GUUUUGAUUCUGUUUCGCUGCUUAGUGGGGAACAUUCAGUUUUUCCAUCUUUUUAAAUGUGCCUGUUGCAAUGCUGUCAUGUUCUGAUGUGAAACCAUCAAUGAAAGCUUUAUCAGGUCUUUCCUCACCUUCUCCUUUAGGACGCUUACGUAACAACGCAGAUUUAUUAUCACCGUCGAUAAUUAUGACUCUGCCUUCCACAACAGGGAUUCAGUCUCAAUACAUAUGUGAUCACAAACAUAUUUAUUUCAUGUUUUCAAGGUGCGACAGUUUCUAAAAAUCACAUAAUUGAGCGGCUAACCAAGAACUGAUAAAUGUUCUUUGAAAACUGACAUAAAAUUGUGUUUCUGUUACAAAUCUGCAGAAAACGUUAUCAAUAUUUGCUAAUGUCGCAAAAUCAACUUUUCAUAAUUACAGUGUUUCCAUUAAAUAAGAAACGUCAUUAAUGUAAUCUGUGAAUAUGUUUGUUCACGCGAUAAGUCAUUAAAAAACAUUACCCUUCAACCACUUCCUGUUGUUGUCGUCUUCGGUGUUUCCGUCAGUAGUAACUUCCUGUAGUUGAUCACAUGACUCAUGAUGCGAGAAAAAUGUUUCUACUGAUAAUUUUGAUACAGCAAUUUUAUGGUCAGUGGAAACGAAGCUGAUGCCGACAGUCUUCAUUACAAAUGAAUUUUGGCGAUUCUCCGCUAACCUCGAAAAAACACAAUUUUACAACUGCAGUGUUUGUAUUAAAUAAGAAACAAAAUUAAAAUCACAUGUGAAUAUGUUUGUUAAAAAAACAUGCCGCUCCAUCAUCCACCAACUACUAACUGUUGUCGUUUUCUUCUGCAUUUCCGUCAGAAGUAAUCAUCCUGUUGUUGAUCACAUGACUUGUGUAAUGCGAAGAAAAAGGUUUCCACUUUAUCAGCUAAAUACACAAAUUUAAAUUCAGUCAAACAAAAAAUGUGAGUUUUUCGAAAUUGGUUUGUUUCCAUUGGGCAAAUUUAUUUUCAUGAUUUUCAUUUUAUGGUCAACGGAGACGCAGCAGGAUUCCCGUCAGAGUGGAUCUUUGCUCAUUUGAACUUUUCUUGUUUUAACAAAUGAAUGGAUCGAAUCGAAGGGAGAAGAUUCUGUGGAAAAGCUUCAAACUGAAGCGAUGUCCUGUGUCUGUCCUGCUCUGUGAUUGUUGGAACGUCCCUGAUUCUGGAAGAGAAAUCUGCUGCUUUUAAAUUCAUCCAGUUGUCCGGCUUUGAUUCACAUGAGUUACAGGACAUGAAGUGACGGCGGAGGAUGUGAGAUUGCCAUGAAAACCUUAAAUCCUGAACCUCAGAGGGAGAAAAUGACACGUUAUAUCACAGGUCACAGAGGGAAAAACAGUCAAAAAAAACUACAUGAGACUGUCGCAUAGCAGCAGUCACAUAGCAACAGUCUUCAGUCAGAGUCUUCUUCAGAUCUGUUGCAAGACUGACUGCUGCUGGAGCUGCCAUCCACAAUAACUCUUUAAAGGUAAA